CCUACGGGGGGCAGCGGUGGGGAAUAUUGGACAAUGGGCGAAAGCCUGAUCCAGCCAUGCCGCGUGUGUGAAGAAGGCCUUCGGGUUGUAAAGCACUUUCAGUGGGGAAGAAAGCCUUGGGGCUAAUACCCUCGAGGAAGGACAUCACCCACAGAAGAAGCACCGGCUAACUCCGUGCCAGCAGCCGCGGUAAUACGGAGGGUGCGAGCGUUAAUCGGAAUUACUGGGCGUAAAGCGCGCGUAGGCGGUCUGAUAAGCCGGUUGUGAAAGCCCCGGGCUCAACCUGGGAACGGCAUCCGGAACUGUCAGGCUAGAGUGCAGGAGAGGAAGGUAGAAUUCCCGGUGUAGCGGUGAAAUGCGUAGAGAUCGGGAGGAAUACCAGUGGCGAAGGCGGCCUUCUGGACUGACACUGACGCUGAGGUGCGAAAGCGUGGGUAGCAAACAGGAUUAGAUACCCCAGUAGUC
rnacentral:rRNA from 1 species